rnacentral:rRNA from 1 species
UCCGUCCUAGGGAUCACUUUUCCAGCGAGAUUCAGUGUGAGGGUGAAGUCUCCGGCCUUCAUGCUUGUGAACUCUUGGCUUUUUGGAUGACUUUUUCCUCAUGUGGUUACCAUCUCUUUUUUUCUCCAUAUAAAAGGUGGAGGGAAAUGGCUCCUUCGGCACGGAUAUAACCUUUAUAGAACUGGGGAGAUCGGAAUAGAGGAAUGCAAGAAUUACCUUAAUACCCUCUGCACCUGCCUUCUCUUCGCCGAAAUGCGGACGACAGCUUGAUGACUGCUUAAGGAUUCCCCUUUGAACAGGUUAAAGUGUGAACAAAUUUAUAUUCGAUGAUGACGUAAACGUAAA